CAGCAGCCACGGUAAUACGUAGGUGGCAAGCGUUGUCCGAAAUUAUUGGGCGUAAAGGGCUCGCAGGCGGUUUCUUAAGUCUGAUGUGAAAGCCCCCGGCUCAACCGGGGAGGGUCAUUGGAGACUGGGAAACUUGAGUGCAGAAGAGGAGAGUGGAAUUCCACGUGUAGCGGUGAAAUGCGUAGAGAUGUGGAGGAACACCAGUGGCGAAGGCGACUCUCUGGUCUGUAACUGACGCUGAGGAGCGAAAGCGUGGGGAGCGAACAGGAUUAGAUACCCCCGUAGUCCCUGUCUCUUAUAC
rnacentral:rRNA from 1 species